rnacentral:rRNA from 1 species
AGCUCCAAUAGCGUAUAUUAAAUUUGUUGCAGUUAAAAAGCUCGUAGUUGAAACGACAUGCCGGGACUUGCUGCUCCUAUCAGAGCGCAGUGCUGGCUCGGGCCUUCAACGGCCUCGGUUACUUUGAGAAAAAUUGAGUGUUUCAGGCGGGCAAGAGCUGAAAUAGUGUACCAUGGAAUGACAAAGUGGUUGUCCCUCUCUUACUUCGGUUCUGGACGGGACGAUACGUGGUUGAUAGGAACAGUCGGGGGCAUUCGUAUUGAACAGUCAGAGGUGAAAUUCUUAGAUUUGUUCAAGACGAACUAGUGCGAAAGCAUCUGCCAAGGAUGUUUUCA